rnacentral:rRNA from 1 species
GCUUUACCAUAAUAUAUAUUAGAUGUUAUUUGGUUUGGUUGGGGCGACUAAGGAAUUAAUCAUCCUAAUAAAUAAAGAUUAACAAAUCGUUAUUAUGACCCUAUAAAGAUCAAAGAAUUAAGC